CCUUCCUCUCUGUAAAAAAUCAAUAAAAUAUCUUUAAAAAAAUUUUUGGCCUAAAUCAUAAAUUUCUAAUCCCACAGCUGGUUGGUGAAACAUGUGCCCUUGAUGGGGUGGACUUGGGAUUUCAAGGACAGUGGCUGCCCCAGCCAUGAUGGCUUCUCCAGCAUCAUGCCAAUGCCUCCCGAGCAUCCUGGGGUCCUCUGAGCAUGGCCACACUCUUCCUUCUUUACUGGUGUUUUUUGUUGUUGUUAUGAAGGUGAUACAUGCCUCUGAUAAAGUUGAACACUACAGGAGAGUAGCAGGUGAAAAGUCAAAGUCGUCCCCUAGGUAACCACUUAUCACUAAGCAGUCUGAUGGGCCUCCUCCAUACUUGUAAUGCCAUGUCACACAUGGACAUAUCUUGCAAAUAGGACCCUGUCAUACAUCCCUUUGCAAACUUCCCCAACACCUUUCUGCAUCCUCAUGUACAUGGCCUGCCCUCUGGUGAGGUGCCUUCGCAGGGAUAUGCCAUAACCCACUUCAGUGGCUCCUGGCUGAUGGGCGUUCAGGCACUGUCAACCCACAUGCGUGUGCUCACGUGUGCAGGGGAAUGUCUACACAUAGAGCUGCUGGUGAAGGCUCUCUUCACUGAAGUCUCAAGGAGUCCUACAUGCUUCUUCCAACUUGAGGGCGGAGGACACUUCAUUCUAUUUACCGGAAAUUCUAGAAGGAUCUAAAUGUCCCCACCACGCUGAAUACAGAAAGGCAGAGACAAUAUUAAGUCUAAAAUUGUUCUUGUUCAUUCCCAAAGAAGGCUGACAACUUAAUUUGGAAAAUUUUCUUUUACUCUAGUAGCUUGGGGACCCCAGGCUGUCAAAACAUGGAAAGCACAACCCGCUAAGGCGACCUCAUGGUCGCUCUGCUUCUCCCAUCAGGGCCCUGAGCACCGGAGGGCAGCCAGCAGUCCCUACAGCUCUGUGACCACUCGCUCAACAGACAGAAAGACCAACACUGCCAAGAGCAUGUCCAUCUUUUGACUGGACAUUUGCCUUGCCAAAAAAAUUUCCUAGCUUCUUAGUGUGAUGUAUUAUAAUAAUUUUAACGCCUAACUUCUGCUAUAAAAAUGUAGCAGGUAAUCUAUGCAAUAGAAUAGACACAUUCAGCAUGCCGCCCAGUCUCUCACCAUGGCAAAUGAAAUAUUUUGGUUAAAAUAGUCAUCAUAAAUAUUGACACAAUAUCACAGUCACAUUGCUAGUUUUCAAAGAGUAAGCUACAAUAAACUGUUUAAUACUGAAAAUAAUUUAAUAGAAGCCAAUUUGGUUAUAAAACACCAGGGAUUUAAAAAAAAAUUCUUCCCUUUCAUACAUUUGGAAACUUGGAGCCAUUUACUCUCUUUCUCCUUUUUAAUUCGGCAAUAUUCUGCUCCAUUUGGGAAGAAAGAAGCAGAGAUUCUCUGUUCUCCGUUCGAGAGUGUCUUCAGUGCCAACCCAGUUAUACGAGGGACAUCUGAGAGGGAGCCGGGUCCAGGCGCAGCAGUGAUAAGAGGAUUUGCCCAGAAGGACAUUUAAGCUGUGAGCACAGCACGACCUUCUUGGUUACAGAGACGCUUACAGUAGCUUCCAAAAAUAGAUGUCAGAGUCACACACCACAGGCCUGAGCCGGUCACCAGGGGAGAUCCCUGAAGCCCUCUGUACCUACUUUCCCUCCUCGAUGCAUUCUGCCCUUGAAUGUCGCAGGCGAGACAAACCAGUUCCCUGGAGGUCCCGCCUGCAGCACAGCCCUACCUGUCUGAGCUGAGGAGCACCUGACAGGGCACAUUCCACUCUGCACAGGGACAGAUAAAUCCUAGAAGAAAGUGGUAGAGUUGGGAUUCAAACCCGUGAAGUCUAAUUUCCAAAUGGAUGCUGUUCAGGCCAGGGAUGAAUGUCAGCCUGUGAAAAAGCAAACACCGGUCCCCACAGGAGUAGAGCACAGGCUGUGGAAUACUAUGGAGGAGACCCUGUGGGAAACCUCAACUGUAAUUGGAGUUGGGAAGGCCUAUCGAGGGAGCUAUCACACCUUACCACUUGAGGUCAACUACCCCAAAAAGGAAGGCCUCAACUGCAGACCUCAACAGGAAGAAAGUCAACUACAGACCACAACACUUGACUACUUUAAUACUCCAGCAGAUUCUCCCCCUGCCCAGCAACAAGCCCAGCCAAUGGAAACGUCACAGCUUAGCCAAUGAGAAGCCACCAUCACCUGAAUUCUUACUUUCCUUUAAUGAACUUUCACUUUUCUUUUGCUGACUUCUUUGUCCCGCCCUCCUUUCUAUAAAAGCCUUCUAUCUUGUAUAACCCCUCGUAGCAUCUCUCUACUUAUUAGAUGAGUUGCUGCUUGAUUCAUGAAUCGUUUAAUAAAGCCAAUGAGAUCAUCCAAUGUACUCAGUUAAAUUUUGUUUAACUAUAGAGGAGAGACUGUUCCAUGAAAUGACUGCUCUCUGUCCCUUGAGCUGGACCCAGGCUAGAAUGGAGGUUGCUUUAUGCAACCCCCCUUUAGAGGCUAUCUGAUCAUCACGGAUGUUCAUUCUGAUAUAAAUCGGUACCUCUCCCUUGCCUCCUGCUACAUACUGGUCCCUGGAGCAGGUUAUUAUCCUGACCUGGUCAAGCAUGUAAAUUAAUUUCCUGUACCUGGUAGCGCUGACAUACCCAUUGCUAUUCCCCUUUUUAUCCUAUAUAAUUCUCUGGCACCAAGUGGCAGAGGGGUCCAUUUUGUCUUGCAGCUGCAGAAGACAUGCCUCAAAUGUAAGUUUCCCUAAAUAAACUCUAUCAAUUGCAAGCCUCUUUCUUCGGUCUUUCCCUGCCCUCCACUUAUUGAGGUAAAUUUUCAGUCUCGGGGCUCCUCCCUUGGUCUGCGUGUAUGAAUAUCAACACGACAUAUGUUACCUAUUUAUUAUGGGUUGAACUGUGGCUGCUGUUGCUCAUUGUUUGACCUCUUACUACGAUGGGAAUUCCUCCGGGCAGGGCCUUUUCUGGUUUGUUCACUGAUGUUUCCCACACCCCCAGAACGGAGUUGAUCGUGGAUAUAAAUACUCACUGUAAUUCAGUCUUAGGACAUAACAGAAGCCAACGGUGAAUAUGUUACAAAGCUCUGUCAAUAUUUUAUAUGGAAAGUCCUGACUCCCUCUUCCUCGUCAUUUCCCCACCACUGCAGCUCCGGCCUUCACGUUGAGGCUGGGACUCCCAGAGUCCUCUCCCUUCAGGCUCUUUUCUCACGCUCAGGACCUUUGCACCUUUCCUCUCCCCGUGGCAGCGUCAUCCAGCCUGGCCUCUGCAUGCCCACUCCUGAGCCCUUGUUAAUGGCCGCUCCAGAGCAUGAGGAGGGCCCCAUUUCCCUCUCUUUCCAGAUCCUCCCUUUCUUUAACGGUGCCGUCCAGGUUCACUCUCCCAUGAGGUACAUGCAAGGUCUUAGAGUCACAUAGCCGUGGAUUUGAACCCGGGCUCUGCUGCAUACAGCUGUGGGACCUAGGCCUUAAGUGCCCUUCUCUUUAAAACGGGUUUAAUAAUUGGGUCUAUGUGGUGUAGCUGCUCUGAGGAUUAAAUGAGAAUGUAGGCACAGUUUAGCAUGGAACCUGAAAUGUGCUAUGUGCACACCACGCUCAUUGUCU